rfam:Myotis davidii contig70998, whole genome shotgun sequence.
GGAACACCCCUGUGGAGCAGGACUUGAUUCAGUGGGGCAUUGGUGCUCACUGAGUCUGCCCCUUGAGUGUGUUGCU